rnacentral:rRNA from 1 species
UUUAGAGAGUUUGAUCCUGGCUCAGGAUGAACGCUGGCGGUAUGCCUAACACAUGCAAGUUGAACGGAAGUUUUUUAAACUUUAGUAGCGGACGGGUGAGUAACGCGUGAGAAUUUACCUUCAGGAGGGGAACAACAGUUAGAAAUGACUGCUAAUGCCCCAUAUGCUAGUUCAAUAUAUAUUGACAUAACUAGUGAAAUGGAGUUUAUCUGCCUGAAGAAAAGCUCGCGUCUGAUUAGCUAGUUGGUAAGGUAAUGGCUUACCAAGGCGACGAUCAGUAGCUGGUUUGAGAGGAUGAUCAGUCACACUGGAACUGAGACACGGUCCAGACUCCUACGGGAGGCAGCAGUGGGGAAUUUUCUGCAAUGGGCGCAAGCCUGACAGAGCAAUACCGCGUGAGGGAUGAAGGCUCGUGGGCUGUAAACCUCUUUUUUCAAGGAGGAAGUACUGACGUGUACUUGAAGAAUAAGCAUCGGCUAACUCCGUGCCAGCAGCCGCGGUAAGACGGAGGAUGCAAGUGUUAUCCGGAAUCACUGGGCGUAAAGCGUCUGUAGGUGGUUUAUUAAGUCUGUUGUUAAAAACUGAAGCUCAACUUCAGGGGUGCGACGGAAACUGAUAAACUUGAGUAUGGUAGGGGUAGGAGGAAUUUCUAGUGUAGCGGUGAAAUGCGUAGAUAUUAGGAAGAACACCAUUAG